rnacentral:rRNA from 1 species
CGCGCAGGCGGCCAUUCAAGUCAGGCGUGAAAGCCCCGGGCUUAACCUGGGAGGUGCGCUUGGGACUGGGUGGCUAGAGAUCGGGAGAGGAGAGUGGAAUUCCCAGUGUAGAGGUGAAAUUCGUAGAUAUUGGGAAGAACACCGGUGGCGAAGGCGGCUCUCUGGACCGAUACUGACGCUGAGGCGCGAAAGCGUGGGGAGCAAACA